rnacentral:rRNA from 1 species
GACGAACGCUGGCGGCGUGCUUAACACAUGCAAGUCGAACGGAAAGGCCCUGCUUGCAGGGUACUCGAGUGGCGAACGGGUGAGUAACACGUGGGUGAUCUGCCUCGUACUUCGGGAUAAGCUUGGGAAACUGGGUCUAAUACCGGAUAUAACCUUCCUUUAGUGUGGGGGGUGGAAAGUUUUUUCGGUACGAGAUGAGCCCGCGGCCUAUCAGCUUGUUGGUGGGGUAAUGGCCUACCAAGGCGUCGACGGGUAGCCGGCCUGAGAGGGUGGACGGCCACAUUGGGACUGAGAUACGGCCCAGACUCCUACGGGAGGCAGCAGUGGGGAAUAUUGCACAAUGGGCGCAAGCCUGAUGCAGCGACGCCGCGUGGGGGAUGACGGCCUUCGGGUUGUAAACCUCUUUCGCUAGGGACGAAGCCAUYCUUUGGGGGUGGUGACGGUACCUGGAUAAGAAGCACCGGCUAACUACGUGCCAGCAGCCGCGGUAAUACGUAGGGUGCGAGCGUUGUCCGGAAUUACUGGGCGUAAAGAGCUCGUAGGUGGUUUGUCGCGUCGUCUGUGAAAUUCCGGGGCUUAACUCCGGGCGUGCAGGCGAUACGGGCAAUACUUGAGUGCUGUAGGGGAGACUGGAAUUCCUGGUGUAGCGGUGAAAUGCGCAGAUAUCAGGAGGAACACCAAUGGCGAAGGCAGGUCUCUGGGCAGUAACUGACGCUGAGGAGCGAAAGCAUGGGUAGCGAACAGGAUUAGAUACCCUGGUAGUCCAUGCCGUAAACGGUGGGCGCUAGGUGUAGGGGUCUUCCACGACUUCUGUGCCGUAGCUAACGCAUUAAGCGCCCCGCCUGGGGAGUACGGCCGCAAGGCUAAAACUCAA